UGGCAGUGCCGGCAAUUUCUCUCCAGGGUUGGUCUCCUUUGGGGACAGGAUGCUGCCCGGUGCAGGUCCAGCUCCAGAAUUCUGCAGCAGGCUGGAGACUUCUGUCUCCUUCCCUAGCUCCCACUCCAAUGAGAUGCAAGACCCUCCCUUUAUACUUCCUGUCCUGCCCUGGCUGCGCCACAAGUACUCCUUUUCUUUUU